rnacentral:rRNA from 1 species
GAUGAACGCUGGCGGCGUGCCUAAUACAUGCAAGUCGAGCGAACAGACGAGGAGCUUGCUCCUCUGACGUUAGCGGCGGACGGGUGAGUAACACGUGGAUAACCUACCUAUAAGACUGGGAUAACUUCGGGAAACCGGAGCUAAUACCGGAUAAUAUAUUGAACCGCAUGGUUCAAUAGUGAAAGACGGUUUUGCUGUCACUUAUAGAUGGAUCCGCGCCGCAUUAGCUAGUUGGUAAGGUAACGGCUUACCAAGGCAACGAUGCGUAGCCGACCUGAGAGGGUGAUCGGCCACACUGGAACUGAGACACGGUCCAGACUCCUACGGGAGGCAGCAGUAGGGAAUCUUCCGCAAAGGGCGAAAGUUUGACGGAGCAACGCCGCGUGAGUGAUGAAGGUCUUCGGAUCGUAAAACUCUGUUAUUAGGGAAGAACAAAUGUGUAAGUAACUAUGCACGUCUUGACGGUACCUAAUCAGAAAGCCACGGCUAACUACGUG